rnacentral:tRNA from 1 species
UGGGGUUUAGCUCAGUGGUUGAGCACUUGCCUAGCAAGCGCAAGGCCCUGGGUUCGGUCCCCAGCUCCAA